GAGAUAUUAGUAAAAUUAUUACAUAACCUUGUCAAGGUUAAGUUAUAGAUUAGCCUCUGUAUAUCUUA
rnacentral:tRNA from 1 species